rnacentral:rRNA from 1 species
CCUACGGGGGGCUGCAGUCGAGAAUCUUUCGCAAUGGGCGAAAGCCUGACGAAGCGACGCUGUGUGGACGAUGAAGGCCUUCGGGUUGUAAAGUCCUUUCGCGCAAGAACAAGAGAGGUUGUCUAAUAAACAGCCGAUUUGAGGGUACUGCGUAAAGAAGCACCGGCUAACUCCGUGCCAGCAGCUGCGGUAAUACGGAGGGUGCAAGCAUUAAUCGGAUUUACUGGGCGUAAAGGGCGCGUAGGCGGGUUUGUAAGUCAAUUGUGAAAUUCCGGAGCUCAACUUCGGAGCUGCAAUUGAAACUACAAGUCUAUAGAGGGGUGGCGGAGAAAACGGAAUUCCACGUGUAGCGGUGAAAUGCGUAGAUAUGUGGAAGAACACCAGUGGCGAAAGCGGUUUUCUAGCUAUUUCCUGACGCUGAGGCGCGAGAGCAUGGGGAGCAAACAGGAUUAGAUACCCUAGUAGUC